ACUACACUUACAUUUACAACCCCCCAGUAACCCAGUACGAUUUCCUGCAAAUUCCAAAGUCAGAUCCCGGCUGGAACAUUUCAGUGCGCUUGCCACGUCACUUUGCCUCCCCUUUCGUCCCUUUUCUACUUUCGUCCCGCUCCUCGCCUCUCUUUUCUCCAUUUAUCGCUUUCUCUUUACUUUGAAAAUGACUGCUAAAGGGACAUUUCUCAGCGUUAUUCAUAAAAGAAUGGUAAAGAGCGAAAACUGCACAUGGUCCAGAAUGCGAAAACGAAUCCAUGAUGGCAAAAAGGUCCUUAUUCCACUUGAAGAAACUGCAGAGGCCUGGAAUAUGCAUUUGCCACGCAGCAGCGGACAUUCGUGUGCGGUCCUCGGGGCAGUGACCUGCGGUCCAGCCGCCCUCUUUCCUCCCCCCCGCCUGCCCAGUGUUCAGACUACCUGUUCAUCAUGCUGCAGCUGAACAGUAGUCCGCACAUUGGUUAGGCUGGGCAGGGACACACACACCCGUGGCUCGAGUAAAAAAAAGGACUCUACCAUUCGCUGCUGGACGGGGGGGAUUUUACAUAUAAACAAUCUCUCUUGGGGAAUACAGAGAGACGUUUACAUUGAAGAUGCUUUGGAUGAAAGCAUCUGCCAAAUGCAUUAAAGUACACAUUCAUAAAUGUAUGUGCUCCCUGGGAAUGAAACCCAAGGCCUUGAUGUUACUCGCACCACACUCAACCAGUCAACCCACAGGAACUUUGGAAAACAGCUAACGUUUGCACUAAUUUCAAACGCAAAUGAAGUUCGAGCCCAGCUUGAGUGGCACCAGUUUUAAGUUCAAGAGAAAGGGGGAGGGACUGUAAGCGAGAAAUGAAGAACAGAUGAAUCUCACCUCCUCGUCCUUGUACCAGGACAGCGAUUCGGCUGACAGGACGAACCAGUACUCCUUGGAGCCGCCCUUCAUAAUGCUGAUGUGGAGGGUUAGCCAGCCUUUACGGAUCACCUGUGGGACAGAGGGCGGAGGGGGUGUGGAGGGUGUAGGGCAUGCCACAAGAGUGGGGAAACAUUUAUGAGAUCCACACAGUCUUUGUGCUGGAAGCUUGUGUCCUAUGCUGAACAAACCUGAAAACCCUAUUGUGCAAAGUUGUGCUUACCUGCUUUGGAAUUAUUUUGUGUAAGUUUGGUUGCCUUCUGUUGUGGUUUACGUGAUUAAGUAAAUAACUCUACUUUGUACGUUACAGCUGUGGUUUUCAACUGGUUUAAAAAAAAUAUCCGGCAAAAUUGGUCCUUUUUUUUUUUUUUUUUUCACUGAAAUUUUGCAGGCAAAAUGGUCCAUUGUUUUCCAAUUUUGUUUUAAUUUUUUCAGGCCAAAAAGGUUUCAUUGCCAAUCCCAAUUGAAAAUUAACCAUGGUUUUAUUAUAGUAAAAGUCUAGUAACCAAGGUUUUUUUUUUUUUUUUUUUUUUCCACUACAAAUAGAAUGGUUAAACUAUGGUUAGUGUAGCGAAACCAUGGUUAAUUUGAUUUACUAUGGUUUAACUAUUGAAACCAUGUUUUUUGGGGUUUUAAUUGUAGUAAAAAACAUGAUUAAUGUUCGUAAGGGAUAUAGCAAUGCAUAACACAGAAAUCACCUUUUUUAAUACAAAAAGAAUGUUUGUGGAAAUCUUCCGCCCUUGCACAAAAUUCCCAAUUGCAUGGAUUCCUUUUGUAUAAAUAAAUAUAAAUGUAAAUAUAAUUUAAACCAGAAAAGUGAUGACUGUAACUGCAUGAAAAAUAGCACUAGUGUGAUUUACCAACAUAAAUGCAUAUCAGUUGUAUCAGUAUUAGCAUAUUAGCUAAAAUUCCAUUAUAUUUGCACUUUAUUAUUCACAUUUAGCUUUAGGUUGUGAUUCACCAAUUGGGAACCACUAGACUACAGUAUCUAUUCUGCAUUGAGUCAGAACAUAAGGCAGCAAUUAAAGCUUAGUCACAAAUAAAUGGUCCAGAAAACACUAACAAAACCACUGGGGAGUGUCUUGAAGUCUUGAAAUAGUGCAACAAUAAAAGAACAAAGGAACAA